GUGUCAGCAGCCGCGGUAAUACGGGGGGGGCAAGCGUUGUUCGGAAUUACUGGGCGUAAAGGGUGCGUAGGCGGCUCUCUAAGUCGGAUGUGAAAACUCUGGGCUCAACCCAGAGCCUGCAUCUGAAACUGGAGGGCUAGGGUUUUGGAGGGGAAAGCGGAAUUCCAGGUGUAGCGGUGAAAUGCGUAGAUAUCUGGAGGAACACCGGUGGCGAAGGCGGCUUUCUGGACAAAUACCGACGCUGAGGCACGAAAGCUAGGGGAGCAAACAGGAUUAGAUACCCUGGUAGUCC
rnacentral:rRNA from 1 species